rnacentral:rRNA from 1 species
GUCUACGGCCAUACCACCCUGAAGCACCCGAUCUCUUCUGAUCUUGGAAGCUAAGCAGGGUGGGGCCUGGUUAGUACUUGGAUGGGAGAAAACAGGGAAACAGCAAGAGCAAACA